ensembl:lncRNA
AGAGCAUGCACUCAUUAGCUACUGUCUGCCAACAAGUUGGGAAAGUGCAAUGUUAUAUGAAAUGUCUGGCUGUUAUAAAAGGCUUUGGUUAAGUAAUCACAUUUCUCUUGCAUAAGUGCUUGUUUUUGGGAGGCUUUAGCCAAUUGGAGGCUGCAGCAGCACACAGACAGAGAAUAGGGUUCGGAGGCGGAGACUCCCCAGCGCCGCUUGUAGCUGAACCACAGCUGUAAAACGCUGCCAUAAAGCCUGUGUGGAUUCCUAGUAAGAUGGAUGCUCUACACAAGUUGAAGAUUUUGGUGAUGUUUCUGUCUCUGGCUACUUUCACGGUCAUGGUGAUAAUGAAUGCUGGAAAUGCCACUGGGACUUUCAAAGGUGUGUUCAGGACAACCCCUGGAAACAUCUCUGCCAAGUACAGCACUGAUUUCACACCAGCUGGCUGGACUUUCCUCAUCUGGAACGUCAUCUACGCCUGGCAGCUCGCCUGGCUCCUCUAUGCCCUGUCGGGGAUCUGUCGAAGGAAUGAACUUGGAUAUGUCUUCAUAAAGCCAGACUUGCUGCCAACACCUUUUUAUGUGGCAUGGUGUCUGAAUAAUUGCCUCAAUGUUGGAUGGCUCUUUCUGUGGGACCGAGAAUACCUCCUUCCAGCCCUGGUGUUCCUGGCAGUCCUCUCUUUUACCACGUGUGCCUCCCUUUAUGUUUCCCACCGAGCCUUGAGCAUCCAUUCCUCGUGGUUUGUGAAGGCUCACAAGGCUGAGCUCUGGCUCAUCCGCAUUCUGGUGCAGAACGGGCUGGCCCUGUACCUGACGUGGACCAGCAUCGCCACGCUGCUGAACUUCGCCGUCGUGCUCAUCUACAAGUGGAACGUGCCCAAUGAGAAAGCCACCACUGCUUCCCUGAGCAUCCUGGCUCUCAGCCUGGUGAUAUGGUUUUAUCUAGAAAACUACUUUCUUGACAAGUACGUCCGCUACAACCUCACAGUGUACCCAGUGGUGAUAGCAGCUCUGACUGGUAGUGCGUGCAGGAGCGGCUCGUUCUCAUCCACACUGACCAACGACGUUUUUAUAGUUGUUCUCCUGGCACUGACAUGUUUGAUCUUUGCUGUUCGGCUGGGAUUAGUCAUAUGGAGACACUGGAAGAGACCACUGGAAGCAUCAGAAUCCCGAGGCCCAUCAGGCACAGUGGCCUGAGACCUCUGGCACUUCGUGGCUGAUACUUGAAAGGGAGAAAAAAGAAUUGGGCAUGUGCUGGUCCUUCCCUCCUGUAUCCAUUUCCUUGUGCAUUUCUCUCCUAUUCCCCAUUCCAAAUGCAGAUGUCUUGCAUCUGCAAAUGUGUCCUGCUCCCACAUUCCCUUGGAUCAGCUACUCACAACCCUGACUUGAAUCCCUUUGAUUUUACCCUGGAAAAGUUCAGGAAAAGUUCCUGAGCAGCCCUGUGCACCUUUGUGGUGCCUGGGCUGUGGCUCUCUUCUCCUGCCAACAGGCACCCAGAAGGCUUGCACACACAGUUGUUCUUGUUUUUCCCUUGGUAUCUCCCUUUCUUUGAAGUGCAGAUCCAAGUGAACUGUCCCUGGGGUUCCAGGGGAGCAGUGGGAUGUCUGUCAUUCCCUUGGCCAUUGGUGCUGAGCAUCCUCAAGCCCUGGUGCUGUCUGCAGAUCUCCUGCAGGCAGCCACUGCUCCUUUCCUGCUUCUCUUCAGCAUGACAGGAGCAGAUACUACAAUUUGAUAUCUGCCUUUGCAGUGCCAGCUCUGCUGUUUGAUGUUCAGGGGGGCAGGGGGAGUGACUGGAGAUUUCUGGCACAAAUGUGUUGCCUUUCCCUGAGCUGUGCACAGCUUGGGCUGGCUGGAUGUCUCUCACUGGGGAGGGUUUGUGGCCUCUCUGGAAGGAGGUUAGAUGUACAGAUGAGCUGGUACCUGAUCUGGGGUGAAGCCUGAUGCUUCAAAGGAAACCUGUUUAAAAAAAAAAAAAAAAAAUUGAACCGGUGGAGCGAGUUCAUCCUGGAUCAGUGCCUUCUCAUGUGGCUUCACCACUUCUGAGUUGGGAUUAGGAAGCCUAAAACUGGAUUGACUGAAUUUUUGGACCACUGCCUUUCCUUCCUGUGCCUAAUUGAGAGUUGGUGGUGCCUCACAGGUGUCUGGAAAGUCUUUGCACCAGGAAGGUGCUGUCAGUGCAUCCUGCAGUAUUAUUAACAAAACUAAAUUCUAAAAUAACAUGAGCUAUUGUUUACAUUUAGCAAAAACCAAAAGUAUUGUAAUUCAAUUCUUCUCCUCAUUCUGGUGUGGUUUUUUUAAAAUUUUCAAAUAAAUCAGCUAAUUCUACCA